GCUCAGAGUAUAAGCCAAUGGAGCUUGGAAGGCUUCCGCAGAUGGUGUCCAUCAUACGUGGUGUUCUUAAGACCUUGAGUGUGGCUCGUGAAGCGAAGCAUUGAGUUUGCCGACCAGUUGUCGUGCGGGGGGUUCAGCUUGGAAGGGUUGGGUUUCGGCCCAACAGUUUUCCUUCUGUCCCCUUUUGAAUGGACGUUCAGAGCUCUUGGUCUAAUGCGGUUAUGCCCACCACAGCACGUUGUGAGGUCACCCACAGGCUCAAACUGCCGAUCGCGCAUCCAGGACGAUGGCAACGAUGCGUUGUCGAUGAUGGCUCGAGAGAGACUUCACUCACACGCGUGUCUAGUCCUGGGUCGGGCGGCGACCGAGAUAAACCUGGUACGAUCCUCUUGCGACGAGCUGCUUUCUGGCCAGACCGACGCCCGGACGCCUCCACUGUGCCGGAAGCGUCAACCCCAGGCGGUGUGAACCCAGCUGCAUUAUGUAAGGUCUCUCAGCCGGGCGUUGGUCUGAGUGGUGUUAAGUCCAGCACCAUCGGUCACGUCUCGAAACACGGGCCAAGGAGUAUAGCAUGUGUGCAAGUCUAAGGGUCUCACAAAACCCGAAGGCGAAGUGAAAGCAAGACUGUGGCGGGGGAGCUACGGCAAACCCGCCGGCCUAGUGGCGCGUGCGUCGCCUGGCUUUUAACAGAGCUGAUCCUGUUUUCUCGGUUAAUUCUUGGCGCAGGCGCAAGCUCCGGGCUCACGUACAACACUGGUCACGCCUCGCG
rnacentral:rRNA from 1 species